UUUUUAUGAGAGUUUGAUCCUGGCUCAGGACGAACGCUGGCGGCGUGCCUAAUACAUGCAAGUCGAACGCUUCUUUUUCCACCGGAGCUUGCUCCAUCGGAAAAAGA
rnacentral:rRNA from 1 species